AGGGGUGUCGCCAAGCGGUAAGGCAAACGGCUCUGACCCGUUCAUCGACUGUUCGAACCAGUCCACCCCUGCCA
rnacentral:tRNA from 1 species